rnacentral:rRNA from 1 species
ACGGGUGAGUAAUACAUCGGAACGUGCCUAGUAGUGGGGGAUAACUACUCGAAAGAGUAGCUAAUACCGCAUGAGAUCUACGAAUGAAAGCAGGGGAUCGCAAGACCUUGUGCUACUAGAGCGGCUGAUGGCAGAUUAGGUAGUUGGUGGGAUAAAAGCUUACCAAGCCGACGAUCUGUAGCUGGUCUGAGAGGACGAUCAGCCACACUGGGACUGAGACACGGCCCAGACUCCUACGGGAGGCAGCAGUGGGGAAUUUUGGACAAUGGGCGAAAGCCUGAUCCAGCAAUGCCGCGUGCAGGAUGAAGGCCUUCGGGUUGUAAACUGCUUUUGUACGGAACGAAAAGCUUUGGGUUAAUACCCUGGAGUCAUGACGGUACCGUAAGAAUAAGCACCGGCUAACUACGUGCCAGCAGCCGCGGUAAUACGUAGGGUGCAAGCGUUAAUCGGAAUUACUGGGCGUAAAGCGUGCGCAGGCGGUUUUGUAAGACAGAGGUGAAAUCCCCGGGCUCAACCUGGGAACUGCCUUUGUGACUGCAAGGCUAGAGUACGGCAGAGGGGGGUGGAAUUCCGCGUGUAGCAGUGAAAU